ensembl:lncRNA
CAGCUUGCCUGCCGUGUGCUGCAGAAAUGAUCCCACAGUGCUCAGGUCCUAGGAGCAGUGGUUACUCACCCUCAAGGCUUGAGAGCGUAGUGCAGAGGAAAUGAAAGCAAUGACUUAUGCUGGUGGAAAAGGCAACAGCUGGAUGUGCCUCCUUCGUGCCGGUAAAUGCAAUCAUGCCAAAGACUUUCUUUGAUGUAAAUUCACUUUUGUGAACAAGCCUGUAAUCUUCUAUUUGAAAGCCAGGAAAUUUCUGCUGUUGAAGAUUUGGAAGCUGUAAACGCUUUUGUUGCUUGUGAUCCUCAUCCAUCCAUGAAGACCUGAGUUCUGGCUGUCUAAGGAAAACCCCACUGAGGAGAGUUGGCAGCUCUUGGCACCCCAGCAUUCUGUUCAGUCGUUUCAUCAGACCCACUGUGCAGCACUGGUAAACCCAUUCUGAGUUUUGCAGUGUAUGGCACUCACUCCCCACCCACGCCCAAUGGCAGUGGGCUUUUGAAAUGUUGCAUAAAGUUUGAAAAAAAAAAAAAAAGUUGUGAUAUUGUGAUGAACCUCUCUUUCUUUGUGAUGAACCUUUCUCUCAUUUUCUCCGUGCUUCAGAGUGCUUUCUUCGCCGGACUGGGCAAAGCCAUGCGCUCUCUGCAGAGGAAGCAGGAGUAGAGAGCAAGCCUCAGUGGCUGUCCUUGAUUCAGGGCCUGACUUCCUUUCUGUCCCUGAGUUUUCAAACAUGAGAGACCACAGUAGUCUCCAUUCAGUGAAACAUCUGGCAGUGGUGGGCUCUUAAAUAUAUAUAUGUUUAUAUUUAAGCCUUAUUGGCACAGCAGCUCUCAAGGCCCGGAAGAGAACUCCCACAGGCUGUGACGCUUCCAGAUACAGAUGGCAGCUUAUGGUGUUUUGGCACCAUGUUCAUCUUCAGAGGCUACUGACUAAGGAGAGUGGUAAGACUACUGUGGAGCCAUUGCUGUGAAGGGUCACGUUCAGCCCCUAGUUUUCUCCAUUUUAAGAAAGCGUGCAGGUGGAAGUAAAGAUCUGCCAGUUCAAAGGUUGCCUUUGAUUUUGUAUGUUUGUGCCUAUAGGUGAAGUAAGCCAAUCCACACCUAGGAAAAUGAUGCCUUUUGAAAUGAAGCUUUCCAA